rnacentral:rRNA from 1 species
UACGUAGGGGGCUAGCGUUGUCCGGAAUCAUUGGGCGUAAAGGGCGCGUAGGCGGAUGCCCAAGUCGGUGGCGAAAUCGUCCGGCCCAACCGGACAAGUGCCGCCGAUACUGGGGAUCUCGAGGGAGGUAGGGGUCGAGGGAACUUCCGGUGGAGCGGUGAAAUGCGUAGAUAUCGGGAAGAACACCCGUGGCUAAGGCGGCUCUCUAGUACGGUACUGACGCUGAGACGCGAAAGCGUGGGGAGCGAACAGG